rnacentral:lncRNA from 1 species
UAUUUUCUUGUUUGCAAAGAGAAACGUUAGGUUUAUAGGAUUGCAAAAACCUUUAUAAAGAAAUGAGAUGAAGCACCUAAGUUAACAGUUAAGUCUUGAAGCUUGUUUCUGUCUUUAUUCUUUUAGGAAAAGUUCCAUAUCAUUUUACUUUUAUAAUAUCAAAUUUCAAAAGUCCUUUUGGUUAUGGCAAGUUUAGAAAUAAUGAGUCUCCAAUAUCCCUUCAGAAGACUAUAACACACUGCUGUAAUAAUGGAAGGCCUUAUGAGUGAGGACACUUGGAGGCAAUAUCAUGCAACAGGUGAAUUGACUGAUGAAUUUGGGUUUACACG